CAUGCUCCUAGAAGCACUGCAGGUGUGUCUGCGGUGUCACAUGAGUAUCAGUAGAGGGCAGAGAGGAGAGAGGAUGUGUCUAUGCCUAGUGUUCUGACCUGUGAACAUCUGAUUGAUUAGUAGUCUAAGACU